GGUGAGAUGGUCGAGUGGUUGAAGGCGCGCCCCUGCUAAGGGUGUAUACAGUUUUACUGUAUCGAGAGUUCAAAUCUCUCUCUCACCG
rnacentral:tRNA from 1 species